GCUACCAUGCAAGUCGGACGGAGUCAAUUUUGUAGCAAUACGGGGUUGACUUAGUGGCGGACGGGUGAGUAACACGCAGGUAACCUACCCUAAAGCUGGGGAUAAUCCGCCGAAAGGCGGACUAAUACCCGAUAAGACCACGAACUGAGAUGUUUGUGGUAAAAGGAGCAAUCCACUUAAGGAUGGGCCUACGGCCUAUCAGGUAGUUGGUGAGGUAAUGGCUCACCAAGCCUAAGACGGGUAGCCGGGCUGAGAGGUUGGACGGCCACACUGGAACUGAGACACGGUCCAGACUCCUACGGGAGGCAGCAGUGGGGAAUAUUGCGCAAUGGGGGAAACCCUGACGCAGCGACGCCGCGUGGAGGAUGAAGGUCUUCGGGUUGUAAACUCCUUUUCUCAGGGAAAAUAAUGAUGGUACCUGAGGAAUAAGCCACGGCUAACUCUGUGCCAGCAGCCGCGGUAAGACAGAGGUGGCGAGCGUUGUUCGGAAUUACUGGGCUUAAAGGGCGAGUAGGCGGUAGAGCAAGUCUGAGGUGGAAUCCUAUGGCUUAACCAUAGAAUUGCCUUAGAAACUGUUUUACUUGAGUCAGUGAGGGGAGGGCGGAAUUCCUGGUGUAGCGGUGAAAUGCGUAGAUAUCAGGAGGAAGGCCUGUGGCGAAGGCGGC
rnacentral:rRNA from 1 species